rnacentral:rRNA from 1 species
UACGGGGGGAGCAAGCGUUGUUCGGAUUUACUGGGCGUAAAGGGCGCGUAGGCGGUCGUGACAAGUCACUUGUGAAAUCUCCGGGCUUAACUCGGAACGGUCAAGUGAUACUGUCGGACUAGAGUACAGAAGGGGCAACUGGAAUUCUCGGUGUAGCGGUGAAAUGCGUAGAUAUCGGGAGGAACGACCAGUGGCGAAGGCGGGCACCUGGGCUAACACUGACGCUGAUGCGCGAAAGCUAGGG